UACGUAGGGAGCAAGCGUUAUCCGGAUUUAUUGGGUGUAAGGGGUGCGUAGACGGGCUUGCAAGUUAGCUGUGAAAACCCCAGGCUUAACUUGGGAAUUGCAACUAAAACUACAAGUCUUGAGUACUGGAGGGGAAAGUGGAAUUUCUAGUGUAGCGGUGAAAUGCGUAGAUAUUAGGAAGAACACCGGUGGCGAAGGCGACUUUCUGGACAGAAACUGACGUUGAGGCACGAAAGUGUGGGGAGCAAAC
rnacentral:rRNA from 1 species